rnacentral:lncRNA from 1 species
GAGCAACAGCGGUAUGAACAAAGGGUAAAUCGUGAUUUACACUACAUGUCGAUUAUCUUUUUCCUAUCAAUUGUUGGGGGUUUUAGUUGAACAUUUUCAUGCUUUGAUGCCUUUGUGAUUUUGCUGCUUUAUUGGUUCGGUUUUUGGAUUUGAUCUGUGAAUCGGUAUCCUUAUUCUUCAGUCACACUAAUUUCUGCUAAUUAUUAAAAUAAUAUAAAAGAAAUAAACGGGACUGUCACUAAUUGAUUAAAAAAAUCAUAUGUUUUUUGGAUAUCCCUUUUUUUUUUUUUUUUUUUGGGGUAGAGGGGUGGGCAUUUUUUCGUGUGAAGAAAUUAUGAAUUUUUUCGGACAAUAUUCUAGGUAUGCAGAAUCAAAUAGGCUUCUAACCAGCGCAAAUUUAAGCUCAAAAUGGAAAGGUUUAGGGAUUAUUUUGCUCGUAGAAGCCUUCAAGUGAGCAUGGACGAAUUCUUGUGAGUACGGGUGACCGCCCAAUAUAAGAAAAACUAAGUUUUCGACAGAACGAGUACGAACGGCUGCAGGGGCUCGUCGAAUUCUGACUCAACCCCCAAUUCAAUAACAGCUUCUGGGAUACAAAUAGCACAUCGGUUUACCUUAGAAUUGGAUUGGAAUUACGAACGACUGAUGUUACGUUGUUAGUGGAUGGUAUCAAUGUUUAUAAAGAGAUUCAACGCUAUAGGAGAUGGGAAGCUAAAAUUAAUUUCGCUCACCUAUACAGCAGAAAUUAUAUAGUUGAUUAAUGGAGCCAUUUAUCUCUCUCUCUUCUUCUUCCCCUUUUUUUUUUUUUUUGGGACUGUAUAAUCUUUAUUAUGUCUAUGCAAC